GCAAGUCGAACGAGAAAUUGGUGCUUGCACCAGUGGACAGUGGCAAACGGGUGAGUAAUAUAUAGGAAUGUACCACGUAGUACGGAACAACUUCUGGAAACGGAAGCUAAUACCGUAUACAAUCGCAAGAUGAAAGAUUUAUCGCUAUGUGAGCAGCCUAUAUCAGAUUAGCUUGUUGGUGAGGUAAUGGCUCACCAAGGCAAUGAUCUGUAGCUGGUCUGAGAGGAUGAUC
rnacentral:rRNA from 1 species